AUGAGAAGAGAGAAGCUGUGGAAAAACACCAGGUUCAGGAUGAGAAGAGAGAAGCUGUGGAAAAACAACAGGUUCAGGGUGAGAAGAGAGAAGCUGUGGAAAAACAACAGGUUCAGGGUGAGAAGAGAGAAGCUGUGGAAAAACACCAGGUUCAGGGUGAGAAGAGAGAAGCUGUGGAAAAACACCAGGUUCAGGGUGAGAAGAGAGAAGCUGUGGAAAAACAACAGGUUCAGGGUGAGAAGAGAGAAGCUGUGGAAAAACAACAGGUUCAGGGUGAGAAGAGAGAAGCUGUGGAAAAACAACAGGUUCAGGAUGACAAGAGAGAAGCUGUGGAAAAACAACAGGUUCAGGAUGACAAGAGAGAAGCUGUGGAAAAACAACAGGUUCAGGGUGAGAAGAGAGAAGCUGUGGAAAAACAACAGGUUCAGGGUGAGAAGAGAGAAGCUGUGGAAAAACAACAGGUUCAGGGUGAGAAGAGAGAAGCUGUGGAAAAACAACAGGUUCAGGGUGAGAAGAGAGAAGCUGUGGAAAAACAACAGGUUCAGGGUGAGAAGAGAGAAGCUGUGGAAAAACAACAGGUUCAUGGUGAGAAGAGAGAAGCUGUGGAAAAACAACAGGUUCAGGGUGAGAAGAGAGAAGCUGUGGAAAAACAACAGGUUCAUGGUGAGAAGAGAGAAGCUGUGGAAAAACAACAGGUUCAGGGUGAGAAGAGAGAAGCUGUGGAAAAACAACAGGUUCAGGGUGAGAAGAGAGAAGCUGUGAAAUGACUUUGGAACAUUGAUCAAUGUUGUUCUGCUUUAGAUAACUUUUACCACAGUUCUAAUGCAAUGCUCCAACCAGCUGA